AAAUAAAAUUACACAUUUUAUGUGUAAAUAAAAAUAACUAAAUUGACAAGUUCUGUUUUAUAAAAAUAUUUGUCAAAGAGAGGUUCUCUGAGUGAAG